rnacentral:rRNA from 1 species
UACGUAGGGCGCAAGCGUUGUCCGGAAUUAUUGGGCGUAAAGAGCUCGUGGGCGGUCUGUUACGUCUGCCUGUGAAAACCCAGGGCUUAACCCUGGGCUUGCAGUGGAUACGGGCAGACUAGAGGCAGGUAGGGGAGAAUGGAAUUCCCGGUGUAGCGGUGAAAUGCGCAGAUAUCGGGAGGAACACCGGUGGCGAAGGCGGUUCUCUGGGCCUGACCUGACGCUGAGGAGCGAAAGCGUGGGGAGCGAACAGG